CCAUAGGUUAAUGAGGCGAACCGGGGGAACUGAAACAUCUAAGUACCCCGAGGAAAAGAAAUCAACCGAGAUUCCCCCAGUAGCGGCGAGCGAACGGGGAGGAGCCCAGAGCCUGAAUCAGUGUGUGUGUUAGUGGAAGCGUCUGGAAAGGCGCGCGAUACAGGGUGACAGCCCCGUACACAAAAAUGCACAUAUUGUGAGCUCGAUGAGUAGGGCGGGACACGUGGUAUCCUGUCUGAAUAUGGGGGGACCAUCCUCCAAGGCUAAAUACUCCUGACUGACCGAUAGUGAACCAGUACCGUGAGGGAAAGGCGAAAAGAACCCCGGCGAGGGGAGUGAAAAAGAACCUGAAACCGUGUACGUACAAGCAGUGGGAGCCUCUUUAUGGGGUGACUGCGUACCUUUUGUAUAAUGGGUCAGCGACUUAUAUUCUGUAGCAAGGUUAACCGAAUAGGGGAGCCGAAGGGAAACCGAGUCUUAACUGGGCGUUAAGUUGCAGGGUAUAGACCCGAAACCCGGUGAUCUAGCCAUGGGCAGGUUGAAGGUUGGGUAACACUAACUGGAGGACCGAACCGACUAAUGUUGAAAAAUUAGCGGAUGACUUGUGGCUGGGGGUGAAAGGCCAAUCAAACCGGGAGAUAGCUGGUUCUCCCCGAAAGCUAUUUAGGUAGCGCCUCGUGAAUUCAUCUCCGGGGGUAGAGCACUGUUUCGGCAAGGGGGUCAUCCCGACUUACCAACCCGAUGCAAACUGCGAAUACCGGAGAAUGUUAUCACGGGAGACACACGGCGGGUGCUAACGUCCGUCGUGAAGAGGGAAACAACCCAGACCGCCAGCUAAGGUCCCAAAGUCAUGGUUAAGUGGGAAACGAUGUGGGAAGGCCCAGACAGCCAGGAUGUUGGCUUAGAAGCAGCCAUCAUUUAAAGAAAGCGUAAUAGCUCACUGGUCGAGUCGGCCUGCGCGGAAGAUGUAACGGGGCUAAACCAUGCACCGAA
rnacentral:rRNA from 1 species